CGGGGUGUAGCGCAGCCUGGUAGCGCGCCUGCUUUGGGAGCAGGAAGUCGGGGGUUCGAAUCCCUCCACCCCGA
rnacentral:tRNA from 1 species